rnacentral:rRNA from 1 species
GAUGAACGCUGGCGGCGUGCCUAACACAUGCAAGUCGAACGCCCCGCAAGGGGAGUGGCGCACGGGUGAGUAACGCGUGGGAAUAUGCCCUUCGGUUCGGAAUAACACAGGGAAACUUGUGCUAAUACCGGAUACGAUCUACGGAUGAAAGAUUUAUCGCCGAGGGAGUAGCCCGCGUAGGAUUAGCUAGUUGGUGAGGUAAUGGCUCACCAGGGCGACGAUCCUUAGCUGGUCUGAGAGGAUGAUCAGCCACACUGGGACUGAGACACGGCCCAGACUCAUACGGGGGGCAGCAGUGGGUAAGAUUGGACAAUGGGCGAAAGCCUGAGCCGGCCAUGCCGCGUGAGUGAUGAAGGCCUUCGGGUUGUAAAGCUCUUUCGCCAGGGAAGAUAAUGACGGUACCUGGAAAAGAAGCCUCGGCUAACUCCGUGCCAGCCGCCGCCGUAA